AAUAAGGGCUGGGAAAAACCGGGGCCACCCGCCCCGGUAAUACCGGCGGCUCAAGUGGUCGUCGCUUUUAUUGGGCCUAAAACGUCCGUACCCGGUUUGGUAAAUCUGUGGGUAAAUCACCCACCUUAACUGGUUGAAUUCUGCAAAAACUGCCAAACUAGGGACCGGGAGAGGUGGGGGGUACUCUCGGGGUAGGGGUAAAAUCCUGUCUUCCUGGGAGGACCACCAGUUGCGAAGGCGCCCCACUGGAACGGAUCCGACGGUCAGGGACAAAGCCUAGGGGCACAAACCGGAUUAAAUACCCGGGUAGUCCUAGGAGUAAACGCUGUGAACUUGGUGUCGGGGAUCCUAAUUGGGUCCCCGGGGCCGGAGUGAAAAUGUUAAGUUCACUGCCUGGGGAGUACGGUCGCAAGGCUGAAACUUAAAGGAAUUGGCGGGGGAGCACAGGAAUUGGCGGGGGAGC
rnacentral:rRNA from 1 species